rnacentral:rRNA from 1 species
UUUAUUUUAAGAGUUUGAUCCUGGCUCAGGAUGAACGCUGGCGGCGUGCCUAACACAUGCAAGUCGAGCGAAGUUGUUUUAAAGCUUGC